CUCAUAAUAUUCAAUUGACCUACAAUUGAAGUGCUCGGCGUUUCUAUUAUAUGUAUGUGAUUUAAACUUCUACUGAAUUAUUGUUUUUUACCAAUUGCUUUUCUUUGGUAUCUUAAUGCGAUGGCCAACUGUUGUAUGGCGACGUGUUUGGUGUUCAGCAACAGGAUCCUCCUAAUUAUGAGGAAGAGCCAGUUGAUAAGACAAAGCAUUGGGGUGAUUUGGAGGAGGAAGAGGAAGAGGAAGAACCGUUGGACGACGAAGAUUUAGAGGAUGGUAUUGAAUCUGUAGAUAGCCUUUCGAGGUAUAUCUUUGUUUAUUUCCCAUUUUCAUUUGGUUUUAGUAUGCUUGUGAAGUUCCAUAUGACCCUAUGUAUGGUCUAAUAUCGCUUUCCUCGCAACUCUUUAUGUAUGACAAAUGGUUAUCCUCGCAACUCUUUA